rnacentral:rRNA from 1 species
CAGUAGCCGCGGGAACACGUAGGGUGCAAGCGUUAAUCGGAAUUACUGGGCGUAAAGCGUGCGCAGGCGGUUCGCUAAGACAGAUGUGAAAUCCCCGGGCUUAACCUGGGAACUGCAUUUGUGACUGGCGGGCUAGAGUAUGGCAGAGGGGGGUAGAAUUCCACGUGUAGCAGUGAAAUGCGUAGAGAUGUGGAGGAAUACCGAUGGCGAAGGCAGCCCCCUGGGCCAAUACUGACGCUCAUGCACGAAAGCGUGGGGAGCAAACAGGAUUAGAUACCCGUGUAGUCCCUGUCUCUUAUAU